CGGGGUGCAGCAGGCGCGAAAACUUUACAAUGCUGGCAACAGCGAUAAGGGGACCUCGAGUGCCAGGAUACAAUCUUGGCUGUCGCGAUGCCUAAAAAGCAUUGCAUAGCAAGGGCCGGGCAAGACCGGUGCCAGCCGCCGCGGUAACACCGGCGGCUCGAGUGGUAACCGCUAUUAUUGGGUCUAAAGGGUCUGUAGCCGGCCGGAUAAGUCUCUUGGGAAAUCCAGCAGCUCAACUGUUGGGCUUUCAGGAGAUACUGUUCGGCUCGAGACCGGGAGAGGUGAGAGGUACUUCAGGGGUAGGGGUGAAAUCUUGUAAUCCUUGAAGGACCACCAGUGGCGAAGGCGUCUCACCAGAACGGAUCUGACGGCAAGGGACGAAAGCUAGGGGCACGAACCGGAUUAGAUACCCGGGUAGUCCUAGCCGUAAACGAUACUCGCUAGGUGUCAGCCACGGUGCGACCGUGGUUGGUGCCGUAGGGGAGCCGUGAAGCGAGCCACCUGGGAAGUACGGCCGCAAGGCUGAAACUUAAAGGAAUUGGCGGGGGAGCAC
rnacentral:rRNA from 1 species